rnacentral:rRNA from 1 species
AACACUAGACGCAUGUCUAAAGUUUAAAAGAUGGGUUCUGCUAUCACUCUUGGGAUGGGACCCUGCGGUGCAUUAGCUAGUUGGUAAGGUAACGGGCUUUACCAAGGCAAUGAUGCAUAGCCCGAGUUGAGAGACUGAUCGGGCCACAUUGGGGACUGAGACACGGGCCCAAAACUCCUACGGGGAGGCAGCAGUAGGGAAUCUUCCACAAUGGACGCAAGUCUGAUGGAGCAACGCCGCGUGAGUGAAGAAGGGUUUCGGCUCGUAAAGCUCUGUUGGUAGUGAAGAAAGAUAGAGGUAGUAACUGGCCUUUAUUUGACGGUAAUUACUUAGAAGUCACGGCUAACUACGUGCCAGCAGCCGCGGUAU